UACGAGGGGGGCAAAUGUUGUUCGGAAUCACUGGGCGUAAAGGGAGCGUAGGCGGGCUUCUAAGUUAGGUGUUUAAUCCCGGGGCCCAACCCCGGUCGUGCACUUAAAACUGGAAGUCUUGAAUAGUGGAGAGGUCAGUGGAAUUGGGGGUGUAGCGGUGGAAUGCGUAGAGAUCCCCAAGAACACCAGUUGCGAAGGCGGCUGACUGGACACAUAUUGACGCUGAGGCUCGAAAGCAUGGGGAGCGAACAGG
rnacentral:rRNA from 1 species